AAUAAGUACAAUUUUAUACUGUUUAUGUCCAACGUUUGACCGUUCGUCUUAUUUGAAAUUUUUUCAUGAUUAGUGUUUUUAUUGUUAUUACAUGAUAAAACAUGAAUAGUACUUUAUAUAUGACUUUUUUUAAAAGUUUUUUCAUAAAUUUUUCAAAUAAGACGAGUGGUCAAACAUUGGACACAGAUACCCACGGCUGCACUUAUU
rfam:Oryza sativa Japonica Group DNA, chromosome 5, cultivar: Nipponbare, complete sequence.